rnacentral:lncRNA from 1 species
UCUCUAAAAAACAAAAACUAAAACAAAACAAAACAAAAAAACCACCUGCUAUAUGACUUCAAAGCACUUACAUGCUAUUGUUUUUCUUAUAUGUAAAUGAUAAUAAAUAAUAUUCACUGUGUUUGCUAACACACAUUUUUUGUAGAACUCAUGUGAGAAUAUAUCUCUGUUGUAUUCAAAAGGCAUGUGACAUAAUUAUCCCAGCGAUCACUAAAACUGUAAAUUUGGAUGCAAUUAAGAGAGAAAACUCCACACAUUUAUGGAAAUUUAAGGUAAGAAAUUACUUGUACAGAAUUAAUUUUAUUUGUAUUUAUUCAUUUAUUGUGUAUGUGCAGGGGCAGAGUCACCUGGCCUCCAGGUAAAUAAUUAUGUUAACUGGAAUUUGAAAUGAUAAGGGAUUAGGAGUAAAGAAAAUGCAGAUUAACCUCCUGUGGUCUGAUCUACCUAUAAUCCCAACACUAGGGUGGCUGAGGCAGAAGUGUCUUUAGUUCAAAACUAAACUGGGAUACAUAGCUAAUUCAAAGCUGGCCUGAGAGAUAAGGGGAACUGGAAAGAGCACGACAUUAGUUUCAGGCGCACAAUACCCAAUGAUUCUAGAAUCCUCUACUGACAAAGCAAACUGACACAAGGAAAAAUACUUAAAGCCCAAAUCCAUUUCCACAAAACCAGUCACUAAGGGUAAAUUUUGGAGAUGAUAAUUAAGGAAGUGAUGAACUAGCAGGAAUUUUCUGUACUAAGUUUGUAAGAAGAAAGUUUUUUAAAUGUCUGUGUUCCCACAAAAAAAUAUUCAUUCUUUAGAACUAAUGCUAACGAAUCAAACACUUUGAAGUAAUUUAGAAGACAGAAUCACCAGUCUGAAUCUCUGCCUGACCACAUUUGUAUCCCCCCCCCCGCGCCCCCACGCCUCUGCCUCCCAAGUGUGCCUCUGCCUCCCAAGGGUUGGGAUUAAAGGCAUGUGCCACCACUGCCUCGCUCAUCUUUAUUUUUAAAUAAAUCUUUUUUGGAGGGAGGGGGUUUCAAGACAGGGUUUUUCUAUAUAGCCUGGUUAUCCUGGAACUCACUCUGUAGACCGGGCUAGCCUCAAACUCAGAAAUCCACCUGUCUCUGCCUCCUAAGUACUGGGAUUAAAGGCAUGUGCCACCACUACCUGGCUAAAUAAAUCUUAUUUGCCAUUAUUAUAUGCAUGUAUUGAUGUGUGUGCAUGAUGUGUGUACACGUGACUUUCAGAGGUCAACUUUGUGGAAUUGGUUCUCUCCUUCCCCUUUUAUGUGGGUUCCAGGAAUUGAACAUAUUAUCCUUUUAAAAGUCAUAUUUCAGGACGAUUAAGAGUAUAUACAGCAAAACUUGACAGCCUGAGUUGGAUCCUCAGAUCCACAGAGUAGGAGAGAACUGACUCCUGUAAAGUUGGCCUCUGACUUCAACACAUGUGCAAUGGUAUUGUGCUGGUAGGAGUACAUAUACAAAGGAAAUAAACUGUCAACAUAAUUAAAAUCACAUUGCAUGAACCAAGGAUAUGGCUCAGUUGGUAAACUUCUUGGUUAGAAUGGAAGAUAAUUUCUCAAAUUUAAAAGCCAUCUAAAGAGACAAUCCUAAAUUUGAACAAGGAAAGCAGAAUAUUAAUAUUAAUAUUGAUCUAAAGCAGUGGUUCUCCACCUGUGGGUUAUGACCCCUUUGGAAAGGGUCACAUAUCAGAUAUCCUAUGCAUCAGGUAUUUACAUUAGAACCUGUAACAGUAGCAAAAUUAUCGUUAUGUAGCAGCAAAAUAAUGUUAUGGUUGGGAGUCACCACAACAUCAGGCAGCAUAUUAAAGGUCACAGCAUUAGGAAGGUUGACAACUAAUAGAGAUUAUGAACUCCUGAAACUAAACAAAAGUAGUAAUGAAAACAAAUGAGAAAAAAGUGGAAGGGCACUCUCAGCAGAAAAAUAGGCAGCAUUAUUAAAUUCAACACCAUAUACACAUACAUAUAAUGAAAGUGUUAGGAAGAAGAGUGAGAGGAAAUAGUUUGAAGAUACAUUGUAACAAUGUUGGAAGCCUUUGUUUAAAAGUAAACAUCCACACAGGAAGCUCAGUGAGCUACAAAUAUAAACAUUUAGUAGUGCCCACUAACCUAUUGAAAAUC